rnacentral:rRNA from 1 species
UACGAAGGUUGCAAGCGUUGUUCGGAAUCACUGGGCUUAAAGCGCAUGUAGGCGGACUGGAAAGCGUUUUGUGAAAUCCCUCGGCUUAACCGAGGAAUUGCUUGGCGAACUUCCAGUCUUGAGGCAAGUAGGGGUGCAUGGAACUCUUGGUGGAGCGGUGGAAUGCGUAGAUAUCAAGAGGAACGCCAAUGGUGAAAACAGUGCACUGGGCUUGUACUGACGCUGAGAUGCGAAAGCGUGGGGAGCAAACGGG